UACGUAGGGGGCAAGCGUUGUCCGGAAUCAUUGGGCGUAAAGAGCGUGCAGGCGGCCCGGUAAGUCCGCUGUGAAAGUCGGGGGCUCAACCCUCGAAUGCCGGUGGAUACUGUCGGGCUAGAGUGCGGAAGAGGCGAGUGGAAUUCCUGGUGUAGCGGUGAAAUGCGCAGAUAUCAGGAGGAACACCAAUUGCGAAGGCAGCUCGCUGGGACGUUACUGACGCUAAGGCGCGAAAGCGUGGGGAGCGAACAGG
rnacentral:rRNA from 1 species